AAGUCUAAUCAGUACGAAAACUGUUUAGAGGCAAAAUUUUCAACUUCAGACGACUUUUAUCAGUUUAUCUCUAAUAAUUACUAAAUGUCACAAAGUUGAAAUGCUCUUUGUGAUAACUUCUUCCAAAAGUAUUUAUUUUGAUUGUUGACCAAAAAAGCAUCUAUGCCAAUUUCAUCCAUACACGAAAUGACACGUGUAUGGUGGAGACAACACCGAAUCUUUCUCGUCUCCUAUAAAUGCAGACAAUUCCCUUUGUUCAAGUCACAGCACAUAAAAGCAUCAGAAAAAGAAACAAAUUUGAAGUUUUAAAUCAAAGAGAAGUAAGAGAAGCAAUGGCAGGUUCUAACUGUGGAUGUGGUUCCGCUUGCAAAUGUGGUGACUCUUGCAGCUGCGAGAAGAACUACAACACGGAGUGCGACAACUGCAGCUGCGGGUCAAACUGUAGCUGUGGGGACAGCUGCAGCUGUUGAAGAAAUCGUGAUCUAACUCACAUAUAUGCAGGAAAUACUGGGGGAAUAUGUGUUUGAUGUUAAGAGAUAUGUGUGUGUUUGAAUAAAGAUUUGCGCGUUAUGUUGCCUAAUACCUCUCUUAAUCUUUGACUUUUCCUGCUUUAUAUCUUUAUAUGUGUGGUUGUGUAAUGUUUUCGUUUGUAACCUAAGAAAAAAAGAAAAAAUAUAUAACUAUUGAUUUUUGUGA